rnacentral:guide_RNA from 1 species
UAAUACAAUAAUACGAGAUUAGACUAUGUGAAUUAAAUGGUAUAAUUA